AUUGAACGCUGGCGGCAUGCCUUACACAUGCAAGUCGAACGGCAGCACGGGAGCAAUCCUGGUGGCGAGUGGCGAACGGGUGAGUAAAGUAUCGGAACGUGCCCAGUCGUGGGGGAUAACGUAGCGAAAGUUACGCUAAUACCGCAUACGAUCUAUGGAUGAAGGCGGGGGAUCGCAAGACCUCGCGCGAUUGGAGCGGCCGAUAUCAGAUUAGGUAGUUGGUGGGGUAAAGGCUCACCAAGCCGACGAUCUGUAGCUGGUCUGAGAGGACGACCAGCCACACUGGGACUGAGACACGGCCCAGACUCCUACGGGAGGCAGCAGUGGGGAAUUUUGGACAAUGGGCGAAAGCCUGAUCCAGCCAUGCCGCGUGCAGGAUGAGGGCCUUCGGGUUGUAAACUGCUUUUGUACGGAACGAAAAGGUUUGGCCUAAUAAGCUGAGCUCAUGACGGUACCGUAAGAAUAAGCACCGGCUAACUACGUGCCAGCAGCCGCGGUAA
rnacentral:rRNA from 1 species